UUCCAAGAAAAGUGGAAAGGGAAAGAGGCAUGGGAAGGGUGGAAACAGAUUCUGGAAGAGUAUUGGUCUUGGCUUCAAGACUCCAAGAGAAGCUAUUGAAGAAACUGUUUGACCUCCAUUCCAGCCUCCAAAUUUAUUAGAAGUGUUCAAUACACCUCCAGCUUCAGUGGUGAACAUAAGAGAGUAUUUUUUUCUCAAACCAUGUGGAAUAUAUGGACCGCACGAAGUGAAAAAAUAUUCAGAUGCAAGGAUUUUAGCAUGUACAAAAUGGUCGAAGAGAUAAAGGAAAAGACAUUUAAAU